AACGAACGCUGGCGGCAGGCUUAACACAUGCAAGUCGAGCGCCCCGCAAGGGGAGCGGCAGACGGGUGAGAAACGCGUGGGAAUCUACCGAGCCCUAAGGAAUAGCUCCGGGAAACUGGAAUUAAUACCUAAUACGCCCUUUUGGGGAAAGAUUUAUCGGGGUUUGAUGAGCCCGCGUUGGAUUAGCUAGUUGGUGGGGUAAAGGCCUACCAAGGCGACGAUCCAUAGCUGGUCUGAGAGGAUGAUCAGCCACAUUGGGACUGAGACACGGCCCAAACUCCUACGGGAGGCAGCAGUGGGGAAUAUUGGACAAUGGGCGCAAGCCUGAUCCAGCCAUGCCGCGUGAGUGAUGAAGGCCCUAGGGUUGUAAAGCUCUUUCACCGGUGAAGAUAAUGACGGUAGCCGGAGAAGAAGCCCCGGCUAACUUCGUGCCAGCCGCCGCCGUAACAC
rnacentral:rRNA from 1 species